UUCAGUACGACAUUGCUCACAUUGCUUCCAGUAUUUACUGCCCGCCCUGCGCGGGCUUUUUUUU
rnacentral:antisense_RNA from 1 species